ACAACCCUCCAGGUUCAUUCCCAGGCUCCUUUCCACUCCUCUGUUACCCCUGAUUCUCCCCCAGCCUUUGCACUGGUUCUGAGGGGAGUGGGAAAUAUGUUUCUGUACUGCAGUUUAAAUGAAUAAUUACUCAAAUUUCUGUAUUAAUAUGCCUAGUAAGGAAUCUAUUUAUCAAAAAACAAAGGGACAGAAGUUUAGCUGGUUUAGAAGAGAACACAGGGAAAUCUGUUCUCCUAACUUUGUGUCAACUGCAGCAUGCUCCAGAAUUUCACAUUAUCUAAGUCUGAAAGUGCAUUAUAACUCCCUGUGCUCUGUUUUUCUCUUUCCUGAAGGCUGUUUUGUCACAUACUUGGAUAUUAGCUUUUGUUUGACUGCGGGGGGUGGGGAGCGGGUUUGCAUAGUUUUAUUGUGGACAUUUAUGAGACAAGUGACUAUUUGGCACAAUAUCCCUUCAUUAUUUUUGCUUUUUCGUCCGUCUCUGCCAUGAGAUUUUAAUAUUGGUUGAACAGUUCAUCCAUUAGUUAUUAAUAACUGAUUUUUCAAGUAACUGCCAACACAAACACUGAUGGGCACGUGUGAAAGUCCCGGAGAGGCGGAGCCUGAAAAGGGGAAAGGAAGUAACUACCUCUUCCCAGGGGUGAGGUGAGAGACAGGUAGGAGGUGGAGAGAGCAUGGGAGGCGGGGGAUACAGAGCUGGGAAACUGCAGGGUUUGCUCGUGAGAGCCAGAUGGCCGAGGCUGAGAACUGUGAACUCGCUGCACGGCGGCUAGAAAGAGACAGGAAGUAUCUUAGAAGUUUUACGUGACGUUGUCACGUUCUCCAAAGGGAAUGACGGGGUGGCCCCCGGAUUCCUGAACGGAUGAGGCUGAGCAGAGCCAAGAAAGACGCUGGGGACAGCAACAGGCCAGGCCAGCCCUGAAUCCCCUGGUCCCCUUCACUGAGGCCAGCGGGCAGUAAGGAGCCUGACAGUGCUGGUCAUCCCUUCCCCAACUACUGUAGUGUCUUGGGUGGGGAUGACAGAGACUCUGUCUGCCCCACUCACCGGGGUGUCCCCAGGGGGGAGAAAAGCUUCUGCUGGGAUUGAAGAUGCCAACGCUUCUGUAAAUUCAGUCCGUUCUCUGAUUCCCGUUAAACAGCCCUCUGGAUUUCCUGCUCCCAGAGCAUUUGUUUCUGGGACUGAAGCUCAGCAUCGCUCAUGAAUUCUCUGCGCUUUCC